rnacentral:rRNA from 1 species
AUGGGAGCUACCAGAGAAGGCGAAUAUGGGGAGAAGGACUGGUACUUUUACUGUCGAAAGGACCGAAAGUACCCCACCAGGAUACGAACCAACCGGGCGACGAAAGUUGGCUAUUGGAAGGCCACCGGAAAGGACAAGGAGAUCUUCCACCCAUCGCUCACGCUCAUCGGCAUGAAGAAGACAAUUGUCCUCUUCAUGGGCCGGGCGUCUAGGGGGGAGAAGACUAACCUGAUCAUGCAUGAGUAUAGUCUCGAGAGCAACAAGCAACUGACAUACAACCCAUCCAUCGCCAUCUCCAGUUUCACCACCACCAACGCGGCUUCCAAGGGACAGUGGGUGGUUUGCAGGAUCUUCCAUAAGAGCACCGGACUAAAGAAGGUGGUGAUGCCGUUAUAUGCCAUGCCAAUGUCCAUGGGAGCAGAACAUCAGCAGGGCUUCGUCAACUUUGAUACAUUGCCUCCUCUCAUGAACUAUGACAUGUGGUCAACAUUGGCCCAUCCACCGCUGUUUCCUGGAGCUUCGUACCAGUUGCAUGACGUUGAGGCAUGCUCAUCGGUGAUAGUUAGUUUGGCGCUUCCUAUGAUGAAUGGCCACUACUUUGGGAACCAACACCACCAGAUGAUGGUCACCCCAAUGCUGUCGUUAUCGCUCUAG